UUGACAACAGGUGAGAUUUGGGGCACCUGACUGUGACUUCAACCCAGCAGGUGGGGUUGGCCCAAAGCAGUUCCCCAGCUUGUCCUCUCAGGUCCUCUGGACACCCUUCCCCACCACACAUAACCCUGGACCUUCACAGCUCCCACACCACCAUCCACACCUAGGAAAGGACAUCGGACUGGAGGUCAGGGGCCUAGGAUUCAAGUCCCAGCUCUGCCGACAGCUACCAGUGUAUUCUUGGGCAAGUCACUGAACCUCUGUGGGUCCUGAUUCCCUUACCUGUAAGAGAGUGAUAAUCAUAAGGCCCUCUGCAUUGCUCUAAGGAUCAAGAUAAUGCUUGUGAAAGUCUUCACUGUACUCUAAAGUGUGAUUAAUAUAUAUUCUUUAUCCUGGAAUCUCCUAUCUCCUUUGAGUCCUGUUAAAUAAACCAUGAUGUGAAUGGUUAGUAA
rnacentral:lncRNA from 10 species